rnacentral:rRNA from 1 species
CAGUAGCCACGGUAAUACGAAGGGUGCAAGCGUUACUCGGAAUUACUGGGCGUAAAGCGUGCGUAGGUGGUGGUUUAAGUCCGUUGUGAAAGCCCUGGGCUCAACCUGGGAAUUGUAGUGGAUACUGGGUCACUAGAGUGUGGUAGAGGAUAGUGGAAUUUCCGGUGUAGCAGUGAAAUGCGUAGAGAUCGGAAGGAACAUCUGUGGCGAAGGCGACUAUCUGGGCCAACACUGACACUGAGGCACGAAAGCGUGGGGAGCAAACAGGAUUAGAUACCCCGGUAGUCCCUGUCUCUUAUAC